AACGAACGCUGGCGGCAGGCCUAAUACAUGCAAGUCGAACGGGCGUAGCAAUACGUCAGUGGCGGACGGGUGAGUAACACGUGGGAACAUGCCUUUCGGUUCGGAAUAACGCAGGGAAACUUGCGCUAAUACCGGAUGACCCGGCGACGGAAAGAUUAUCGCCGAAAGAUUGGCCCGCGUAGGAUUAGCUAGUUGGUGAGGUAACGGCCCACCAAGGCGACGAUCCGUAGCUGGUCUGAGAGGAUGACCAGCCACACUGGGACUGAGACACGGCCCAGACUCCUACGGGAGGCAGCAGUGGGGAAGUAUUGGACAAUGGGCGAAAGCCUGAUCCAGCCAUGCCGCGUGGGUGAAGAAGGCCUUAGGGUUGUAAACCCUUUCAGCGGGAAGAUAAUGACGGUACCCGCAGAAGAAGUCCCGGCUAACUCCGUGCCAGCA
rnacentral:rRNA from 1 species